CCCCGCCGCUAAAAAAAAUCAUUCGCAAUUUUCAUUUCAAAAACAGAUUCAUUUCGUGUGCCAGCCUCGUUUUCCGGGAAUUUUUCUGUGCCCCUUAGUUUCGAUGUCGAGUCGCAAUUUCGGUUCAAAUUCAACAAAGCCGGUUCCAUCCUAGGACAAAUUGACCGCAGUCGGUCAAUUAUAAUCACUCACGAAAUGCAACGAAAAACAUCAACGGAGCUCGGAAAUUCACAAUGGCUGACGGCUCCGGUUCUGCAGGGUCAACUUAAAGAUUGGGGCCGAGAAAAAUAUAUGCUUUGCGUUGAUGCUGACUUGAUAAUGCUAGCACAUCCCAUAAGGUCUAUCCCCGUCGAGUGCAACAACAUUUUGAUGUUCUGCAGCAGCAGCUAGGAUCACUGGAGCCUCCCGGCAGCAUUCAGCGGUAGGCCUCAGAAGAAAAUAAUUUAUGGGACAAGGCCAUAAACACAGUACGGAUUAGGAAGAAGGAUCGUGACAACAACAGAACCCAGGCAGAUCCGAAACCGAUGGCCAUCAUUUGAAUUCAACGAAAUAUUCGGAUUACUUGGAGGCACCAGAAAAAGACUGUGAUAUUGUUGAAAUGUUAUUGUAUUAAUUUGUAAAUUGUGAAAAUGUGAAAAAAUAAAUU